GACGAACGCUGGCGGCGCGCUUAACACAUGCAAGUCGAACGGAAAGGCCUGCUUUCCCUUGUGGAUUGCGGGUACUCGAGUGGCGAACGGGUGAGUAACACGUGAGUGAUCUGCCCCCAACUUGGGUAUAAGCCUGGGAAACUGGGUCUAAUUCCCGAUAGGACUGCAGGGUGGUGCCUGUGGUGGAAAACGAUUUUCUAGUGGUUGGGGAUGAGCUCGCGGCCUAUCAGCUUGUUGGUGGGGUAAUGGCCUACCAAGGGGGCGACGGGUAGCCGGCCUGGGAGGGUGGACGGCCACAUUGGGACUGAGAUACGGCCCAGACUCCUACGGGAGGCAGCAGUGGGGAAUAUUGCACAAUGGGCGGAAGCCUGAUGCAGCGACGCCGCGUGGGGGAUGACGGCCUUCGGGUUGUAAACUCCUUUCGACCGCGAGGAAGCCACCUGGUUGGAAGGGUGGUGACGGUAGUGGUAGAAGAAGCACCGGCUAACUACGUG
rnacentral:rRNA from 1 species